CCCAGCAGCUACAGCAGCCCCUCCCCCAACCCAAGGUGGGCAGAAGACAAGGAACGGUGGCCCAGCUCCAAGGGAGGUGGAGAAACUGAGGCACAGCACUGCUGCUAAUAUAAACCAGGGGAAGAAAUUGUAUAAAACAGACAGAGUUGAUGCAUACUGGGCCCUUCUCCUGCCCACACGUUCUCUGCAAGCAACUAAGACACUGAGAAGAAGACAAGACUCCAACAGAGGAGAUUGGCCCAAGUUUAAGGAACAAACUGUAUAUUAAGGACUGCAAUAUCCAAUGGGGUGUACUGCCUGGCCUCCACCAGCAACGAAAUAAUAAUGUACAGCGCCUAGCACAAUGGAGCCCUGGCCUGUAAGUGGGGCUCCUGGGAACAACUGAAAUGCAAAUCCCAAAUACCAAUGUGAACUCCUGAACACCCACACCUGCUGUGAGGGUUUGUGAGCUGUGACAGAGUGAUCAAAGGACAUCAGCACUGAAUGGCUGUCUCCCGGGGAAACAAUCGGGUAGCUACCGGCAAUGCCAAAGGGAAUCACUCUUCCCAGAAGCCUGAACACACGGCUGCACCUGAUCCACAGGGGCAGAGACUGUGCUUCUCCCAGCCAGAGGGUGGCAUUUCUAUGGCCACAGACACAACACAAGGCCCAGAAGGAACGCUUGCCUCCACAAAGGGCUGGGACCAAACCCAGGGCCUU